rnacentral:rRNA from 1 species
GGAGGGUGCAAGCGUUAUUCGGAUUUACUGGGCGUAAAGGGCGCGUAGGCGGUUGGACAAGUCAGGUGUGAAAUCCCGGGGCUUAACUCCGGAAGUGCAUCUGAAACUGCCCGGCUUGAGUACGGGAGGGGGAAGUGGAAUUCCCGGUGUAGAGGUGAAAUUCGUAGAUAUCGGGAGGAACACCGGUGGCGAAGGCGGCUUCCUGGACCGAUACUGACGCUGAGACGCGAAAGCGUGGGGAGCAAACAGGAUUAGAUACCCUGGUAGUCCACGCCGUAAACUAUGUCAACUAGGUGUUGGGUGGGUAAAACCAUUUAGUACCGUAGCUAACGCGUGAAGUUGACCGCCUGGGGAGUACGGCCGCAAGGUUA